rnacentral:rRNA from 1 species
GACGAACGCUGGCGGCGUGCUUAACACAUGCAAGUCGAACGGAAAGGCCCUGCUUUUGUGGGGUGCUCGAGUGGCGAACGGGUGAGUAACACGUGAGUAACCUGCCCUUGACUUUGGGAUAACUUCAGGAAACUGGGGCUAAUACCGGAUAGGAGCUCCUGCUGCAUGGUGGGGGUUGGAAAGUUUCGGCGGUUGGGGAUGGACUCGCGGCUUAUCAGCUUGUUGGUGGGGUAGUGGCUUACCAAGGCUUUGACGGGUAGCCGGCCUGAGAGGGUGACCGGCCCCGUUGGGCAGGAGAAACGGCCGAAGCCCCAUCGGGAGGCAAAGGGGGGUAAUAUUGCAUAAAGGGCGGAGGCCUGUCGCAAGAACGCAGAGCGGGGUGUAACGGCCUUGGGGUGGGAAGCCGGUUGCCCUUGUAAAGAGGGGGGGGUGCCGGUUAGGGAGAAGGAAACGCCGCUUAACCGGUA